CGAUUAACAACCCUGAUCAAAUAAGAUUCUAUCCAAGCUUUAAGGCCAAAAUAAACGCUUAAUACUUGAAAAACCUAGUAUUUUCUGCAGGAAAAUUUUGUAUUAGCCUUAUUAAAUUUUUCAAAAUGAUUCAUUAUUCUUGAAUUUUCUAAUUAGUCCUGAAGUUCGUAAUUAAUACUCUUUAUGAAACAUUGAGAGUGACAUACUUGCAGCCAUCACUUUUCAUGAAACAUAGAGAGGAACAUACUUGCAGCCAUCGCUGUUUAUGAAACAUAGAAAGGAACAUACUGGCAGCCAUCACUGUUUAUGAAACAUAGAGAGGAACAUACUUGUAACCAUUCAUUGUUAUGAAACAUUUAUAAUAUUAAAAAACAAUUAAAAAAUUUCAGGGUGGUCGAUGUGUGCGCUUUUUUGAUGGUGUAUCAGAAUGUAUUGGAGCAACAACAACAACAACUACCACAACUACAACGACUACAACGACAACAACUACCCCAUCAUGUAUUCAGUUAUGUAAUGAUUUUAUUUGUAAUGAGUCGAACCAAAGAACUGAACCUUCUAUAGGAAAUCAGGAA